rnacentral:rRNA from 1 species
UACAGAGGGUGCGAGCGUUGUCCGGAAUCACUGGGCGUAAAGGGCGCGUAGGUGGCCCGACAAGUCUGUGGUGAAAGCUCGACGCUCAACGUCGAGUCGGCCAUAGAUACUGUUGGGCUGGAGCACUGUAGAGGCUCAUGGAAUUCCGGGUGUAGCGGUGGAAUGCGUAGAGAUCCGGAAGAACACCGGUGGCGAAGGCAGGUCUCUGGGCCACUACUGACGCUGAGGCGCGAAAGCCAGGGGAGCGAACGGG